UGUGUGGUGUUAGAUGGUCAAAUUUCAUUCUUUUGUAUGUUAUUCUAGUUUCCCAGCAUCACUUAUUGAAGACACUAUCUUUUUCCCUUUGAGUGUUCUUGGUUCCCUUGUCAAAUA